GCCCGCUUGGCUAAGUGGUAUAGCGUGUCACUAGUAAAGAAAAGACGAAGCACAACUUGUUUACGACGGUGUGUGUGUGUUUGUUUCUGACAAAUCUAGAUGCCAUGACAAGAUCAGCGGUUCGAUUCCGCUAGUGGGCA